CAAAGGAAUUGACGGGGCCCGCACAAGCGGUGGAGUAUGUGGUUUAAUUCGAUGCAACGCGAAGAACCUUACCUGGGUUUGACAUACACCCUGCCGCUCCAGAGAUGGGGCUUCUUUUGGGGGUGUACAGGUGGUGCAUGGCUGUCGUCAGCUCGUGUCGUGAGAUGUUGGGUUAAGUCCCGCAACGAGCGCAACCCUCGUUCUAUGUUGCCAGCACGUAAUGGUGGGGACUCAUAGGAGACUGCCGGGUCAACUCGGAGGAAGGUGGGGAUGACGUCAAGUCAUCAUGCCCCUUAUGUCCAGGGCUUCACGCAUGCUACAAUGGCCGGUACAAAGGGCUGCGAUCCCGUAAGGGGGAGCGAAUCCCAAAAAGCCGGUCUCAGUUCGGAUUGGGGUCUGCAACUCGACCCCACGAAGUCGGAGUCGCUAGUAAUCGCAGAUCAGCAACGCUGCGGUGAAUACGUUCCCGGGCCUU
rnacentral:rRNA from 1 species